UACAGAGGGUGCAAACGUUGCUCGGAAUCAUUGGGCGUAAAGCGCACGUAGGCGGCCUAGCAAGUAGGGAGUGAAAGCCCUCGGCUUAACCGAGGAAGUGCUUUCUAAACUACUAGGCUUGAAUACUGGAGAGGGUCGCGGAAUUCCCGGUGUAGAGGUGAAAUUCGUAGAUAUCGGGAGGAACACCAGUGGCGAAGGCGGGUUGCUGGGCUGACACUGACGCUGAGGCGCGAAAGCCAGGGGAGCGAACGGG
rnacentral:rRNA from 1 species